rnacentral:rRNA from 1 species
UUUUCCCAACAGCUAGCUCGCCCACCCCAAACCAACAAACCCCAUCAAUAAACCCUUAUUAACAUAACAAGUUAAAUAAAACAUUUUUCCCUCUCAGUACAGGAGAUAGAAAAG